UACAUAUUAUUCACUAUUAUUUUCUAUUUUAAUUUUAUUUCCUUAGUUCUGUGGGUUUUAUGACCUGUUUGAAAGCAAUUAAACAACUAAUUAGACUGGAAGUAAAUAAAAUGGAUCAAACUUGAUGAUACAAUCCAAAGGUAGGAUGAGAAACUUGAUAAUACUAUUGGUAACAACUUUUAUGACUUGCUAAGAAGAAUUCCUUUUUUAAAGCAGAACCAUUGAUCAUGCUUUCUUCUUGAGAUUUAGUUGUUUUCUCCAUCUAUAUAGCUUGCAAUAAAUUU
rnacentral:misc_RNA from 1 species